CUAAUUAGCAUCCGUUUUUCUGAAAUUAGCGUCCGUCUUUGGAGCGGACGCUAAUUAGCGUCCGUUGUACAAGUUUACCGUCUAACAUGACGGACGGUAUUCAAUGGUCAUAAGAAAAAGAAUACGACCCACCUUAUUCUCUCACCUCACAUCAGAACCCACCUUAUUCUCUCACCUCACAUCACAACCGUCGUCAAUGUUUCUCUCUCACCGUCGACGGUAUUCUGUCCGCUACCACACUUGCUCUGAUUUCAAGGGAGGUUCGAUCGAUUUCUGAGCCAAUCAUCAUCGCAGGUUUUCGUUUUAGGGUACAACUAACUUAUUUACAAAGAUUUUUCACAGACACUGAUCAAGAAUUAUACCUGCUUCAAGUUGAUUCGAACAAGGUAGGAUGAUGAUGGGGACCACUGUAAUCAACAACAAUAGGCUGCUGAAGUGAACACCCAACUUAAACAAGUGAUAAGUGGUCUCAUUAGAAGUAAGAAAUUGAUUUUUGUCUUUUGGUCAUUGGUAAAAGUCAUAUGAAAUUGGUUUAUCAGAAGUGACAAAGAAGUAAUGUUUCUCCUCUAUGCAGAAUAAUGAUGAGUGAGAUUAUCAGGCCAUGGCUCAGCAUUUCAAAAUCUGAAAUUAGUGGUCUGAAUUAUUAUCAACUAAACCCAAUAAACCAUCUUAUAUUGGUGAACGUGAACUAGAUAUCGUCCCUUGUAGCAUCGUUUGUCAGAUUUCAAGUGAUGAUGGAAUAAAAUUAACAGCUCUUAACUUCUUAUAUCCAGAAUAUUGGAUCCUUUUGGGCAUCAGGUGCAACAACAAGAACACUCUAUAAAGGUUUCAAACAAAGUAAAGUGUUAUAGAAGCCAUUAAAGUAAAAACAUUAGAAGCCGUUAAAUUAAUCUGUUUGCCUUGUAAAAUGCCAUUGCAUUCUUGUGUUCUUGUUCCUGUUGGUGCUGCCUUUGGAAUCUAAUUGACUCAAUUAUGCUUGCUUAUGAGAGAAAUAAGCAGAGAUAUUUGUUAUUGUCUGAAUGGCAUCUGGGUGCGGCUUUUGUAACUGGAUUGACUUUAUAAGAGUGGUUAGUGACUUGUGAUUGUAAUGAAACUUCAAUCUGUGCAAAUCUAUGUCUAGCAAUGAUUAUGUUAA